AACUUUUUUAUUAUAAAUAUUAUACCUGACUUCCAAUCAGGAGAUCUCCAUGAGAAAAAGUA
rnacentral:tRNA from 1 species